GAUUAUGGCUACAUUGAAACACCAGUUACCGUACGAUCACUGAAGUUAAGCAACGUCGCGCCAGGUCUGUAUCUAGAUGGGUGACCGCUUUUGAAUAUCAGGUGCAGUAAG